CCCCCCUUUUAGGAUUCUUCCCAAAAUGAAUAAUUUUAAAUGAAUUAAUUAAAACCCUUGUAAUUCUCCCCAGAAUUAUAAUUUUAACCUCAUAAUCUCAAUAUUUAUGUAUAUUCAAAUUAAUUAUUUACAUAUAAGCAAUUUUCCCUAAAAAAGAAAAAUUUUAAGAAUAAUACAGCUAAAUCUUUUUCUAUUCUAAAUUAAUAGUAUUUCCUAUAAUAUUAAUUUUUUGAAUAUAAAUCCCUUAGAAAACACAUUCACCUUUAAUUUGCAAUUUAAAAUCAUAUUUGAAUAUAAGGUUUAGAAAAAACCGAGAUUCCAAUUAUAUAAACUAUAUUUACCUAUAAAAUUGAAUGUACUCCCUAGGUUAAAGCCUAAAAUUAAUUUAAUAGGAGGAAGUUUCGUAAUCUAUAAGGCCCCCCCCUUUUUAGGAUUCUUCCAAAAUGAAUUAAUUAAAACCCCUUAUAAUUCUCCCCAGAAUUAUAAUUUUAACCUCCAUAAUCUCAAUAUUCAUGUAUAUUCAAAUCAAUUAUUUACAUAUAAGCAAUUUUCCCUAAAAAAGAAAAAUUUUAAGAAUAAUACAGCUAAAUCUUUUUCUAUUCUAAAUUUAAUAGUAUUUCCUAUAAUAUUAAUUUUUUGAAUAUAAAUCCCUUAGAAAACACAUUCACCUUUAAUUUGCAAUUUAAAAUCAUAUUUGAAUAUAAGGUUUAGAAAAAACCGAGAUUCCAAUUAUAUAAACUAUAUUUACCUAUAAAAUUGAAUGUACUCCCUAGGUUAAAGCCUAAAAUUAAUUUAAUAGGAGGAAGUUUCGUAAUCUAUAAGGCCCCCCCCUUUUUAGGAUUCUUCCAAAAUGAAUUAAUUAAAACCCCUUAUAAUUCUCCCCAGAAUUAUAAUUUUAACCUCAUAAUCUCAAUAUUCAUGUAUAUUCAAAUCAAUUAUUUACAUAUAAGCAAUUUUCCCUAAAAAAGAAAAAUUUUAAGAAUAAUACAGCUAAAUCUUUUUCUAUUCUAAAUUAAUAGUAUUUCCUAUAAUAUUAAUUUUUUGAAUAUAAUCCCUUAGAAAACACAUUCACCUUUAAAUUUGCAAUUUAAAAUCAUAUUUGAAUAUAAGGUUUAGAAAAAACCGAGAUUCCAAUUAUAUAACUAUAUUUACCUAUAAAAUUGAAUGUACUCCCUAGGUUAAAGCCUAAAAUUAAUUUAAUAGGAGGAAGUUUCGUAAUCUAUAAGGCCCCCCCCUUUUUAGGAUUCUUCCCAAAAUGAAUUAAUUAAAACCCCUUAUAAUUCUCCCCAGAAUUAUAAUUUUAACCUCAUAAUCUCAAUAUUCAUGUAUAUUCAAAUCAAUUAUUUACAUAUAAGCAAUUUUCCCUAAAAAAGAAAAAUUUUAAGAAUAAUACAGCUAAAUCUUUUUCUAUUCUAAUUUAAUAGUAUUUCCUAUAAUAUUAAUUUUUUGAAUAUAAUCCCUUAGAAAACACAUUCACCUUUAAAUUUGCAAUUUAAAAUCAUAUUUGAAUAUAAGGUUUAGAAAAAACCGAGAUUCCAAUUAUAUAACUAUAUUUACCUAUAAAAUUGAAUGUACUCCCUAGGUUAAAGCCUAAAAUUAAUUUAAUAGGAGGAAGUUUCGUAAUCUAUAAGGCCCCCCCCUUUUUAGGAUUCUUCCCAAAAUGAAUUAAUUAAAACCCCUUAUAAUUCUCCCCAGAAUUAUAAUUUUAACCUCAUAAUCUCAAUAUUCAUGUAUAUUCAAAUCAAUUAUUUACAUAUAAGCAAUUUUCCCUAAAAAAGAAAAAUUUUAAGAAUAAUACAGCUAAAUCUUUUUCUAUUCUAAAUUUAAUAGUAUUUCCUAUAAUAUUAAUUUUUUGAAUAUAAUCCCUUAGAAAACACAUUCACCUUUAAAUUUGCAAUUUAAAAUCAUAUUUGAAUAUAAGGUUUAGAAAAAACCGAGAUUCCAAUUAUAUAACUAUAUUUACCUAUAAAAUUGAAUGUACUCCCUAGGUUAAAGCCUAAAAUUAAUUUAAUAGGAGGAAGUUUCGUAAUCUAUAAGGCCCCCCCCUUUUUAGGAUUCUUCCAAAAUGAAUUAAUUAAAACCCCUUAUAAUUCUCCCCAGAAUUAUAAUUUUAACCUCAUAAUCUCAAUAUUCAUGUAUAUUCAAAUCAAUUAUUUACAUAUAAGCAAUUUUCCCUAAAAAAGAAAAAUUUUAAGAAUAAUACAGCUAAAUCUUUUUCUAUUCUAAAUUUAAUAGUAUUUCCUAUAAUAUUAAUUUUUUGAAUAUAAUCCCUUAGAAAACACAUUCACCUUUAAUUUGCAAUUUAAAAUCAUAUUUGAAUAUAAGGUUUAGAAAAAACCGAGAUUCCAAUUAUAUAAACUAUAUUUACCUAUAAAAUUGAAUGUACUCCCUAGGUUAAAGCCUAAAAUUAAUUUAAUAGGAGGAAGUUUCGUAAUCUAUAAGGCCCCCCCCUUUUUAGGAUUCUUCCCAAAAUGAAUUAAUUAAAACCCCUUAUAAUUCUCCCCAGAAUUAUAAUUUUAACCUCAUAAUCUCAAUAUUCAUGUAUAUUCAAAUCAAUUAUUUACAUAUAAGCAAUUUUCCCUAAAAAAGAAAAAUUUUAAGAAUAAUACAGCUAAAUCUUUUUCUAUUCUAAAUUUAAUAGUAUUUCCUAUAAUAUUAAUUUUUUGAAUAUAAAUCCCUUAGAAAACACAUUCACCUUUAAUUUGCAAUUUAAAAUCAUAUUUGAAUAUAAGGUUUAGAAAAAACCGAGAUUCCAAUUAUAUAAACUAUAUUUACCUAUAAAAUUGAAUGUACUCCCUAGGUUAAAGCCUAAAAUUAAUUUAAUAGGAGGAAGUUUCGUAAUCUAUAAGGCCCCCCCCCUUUUUAGGAUUCUUCCCAAAAUGAAUUAAUUAAAACCCCUUAUAAUUCUCCCCAGAAUUAUAAUUUUAACCUCAUAAUCUCAAUAUUCAUGUAUAUUCAAAUCAAUUAUUUACAUAUAAGCAAUUUUCCCUAAAAAAGAAAAAUUUUAAGAAUAAUACAGCUAAAUCUUUUUCUAUUCUAAAUUUAAUAGUAUUUCCUAUAAUAUUAAUUUUUUGAAUAUAAAUCCCUUAGAAAACACAUUCACCUUUAAUUUGCAAUUUAAAAUCAUAUUUGAAUAUAAGGUUUAGAAAAAACCGAGAUUCCAAUUAUAUAACUAUAUUUACCUAUAAAAUUGAAUGUACUCCCUAGGUUAAAGCCUAAAAUUAAUUUAAUAGGAGGAAGUUUCGUAAUCUAUAAGGCCCCCCCCCUUUUUAGGAUUCUUCCCAAAAUGAAUUAAUUAAAACCCCUUAUAAUUCUCCCCAGAAUUAUAAUUUUAACCUCAUAAUCUCAAUAUUCAUGUAUAUUCAAAUCAAUUAUUUACAUAUAAGCAAUUUUCCCUAAAAAAGAAAAAUUUUAAGAAUAAUACAGCUAAAUCUUUUUCUAUUCUAAAUUUAAUAGUAUUUCCUAUAAUAUUAUUUUUUGAAUAUAAUCCCUUAGAAAACACAUUCACCUUUAAUUUGCAAUUUAAAAUCAUAUUUGAAUAUAAGGUUUAGAAAAAACCGAGAUUCCAAUUAUAUAACUAUAUUUACCUAUAAAAUUGAAUGUACUCCCUAGGUUAAAGCCUAAAAUUAAUUUAAUAGGAGGAAGUUUCGUAAUCUAUAAGGCCCCCCCCCUUUUUAGGAUUCUUCCCAAAAUGAAUUAAUUAAAACCCCUUAUAAUUCUCCCCAGAAUUAUAAUUUUAACCUCAUAAUCUCAAUAUUCAUGUAUAUUCAAAUCAAUUAUUUACAUAUAAGCAAUUUUCCCUAAAAAAGAAAAAUUUUAAGAAUAAUACAGCUAAAUCUUUUUCUAUUCUAAAUUAAUAGUAUUUCCUAUAAUAUUAAUUUUUUGAAUAUAAAUCCCUUAGAAAACACAUUCACCUUUAAAUUUGCAAUUUAAAAUCAUAUUUGAAUAUAAGGUUUAGAAAAACUAAGGAUUUAAGUUAUCUAAACUAUUAACCUUCAAAGUUGAAAAUAUUCCUUAGGUUUAAGCCUUAGAUUAAGUUUAAUAGGAGGAAAUUAACCCUUAAAUAAAUUUACAAUUUAUUACCUAAAUCAGACACCCUAUUUAGAUUUUAGUUAAUGAAAAAAUGGCUAAUAUCUACUAAUCAUAAAGACAUUGGAACCCUUUACUUUAUCCUAGGUAUUUGGUCAGGAUUUAUAGGAACCAUAAGUAGUAUAAUUAUCCGAUCAGAAUUAACUCAACCAGGAUCUCUAAUUAAAAAUGAUCAAAUCUAUAAUGUUUUAAUUACAUCACAUGCUUUUAUUAUAAUUUUCUUUAUAGUAAUACCAAUUCUAAUUGGAGGUUUUGGUAAUUGAUUAGUACCCUUAAUAAUUGGUGCACCAGAUAUAGCCUUCCCACGAAUAAAUAAUAUAAGAUUCUGACUUUUACCCCCAUCUUUAAUUUUAUUAAUUUCAAGAUCACUCACUGGAACUGGUUCUGGAACAGGUUGAACCGUUUAUCCCCCCCUUUCUAGAGUAACAUCCCAUUCCGGACCAUCUGUAGAUUUAACCAUUUUUUCUCUUCACAUCGCAGGGGUUAGAUCAAUUAUAGGUGCAAUUAAUUUUAUUUCAACAAUUUUAAACAUGCGAUCAAAAAAUAUUUCAAUAGAAAAAUUACCUCUAUUCUGUUGAUCUGUAUUAAUUACAGCUAUUUUACUCCUUCUAUCCCUUCCUGUUCUAGCUGGAGCAAUUACUAUACUAUUAACUGACCGAAAUCUAAAUACAUCAUUUUUUGACCCCACCGGGGGUGGAGACCCAAUCCUCUACCAGCAUUUAUUCUGAUUCUUUGGUCACCCAGAAGUUUACAUCCUUAUUCUUCCAGGAUUUGGAUUAAUUUCUCAUAUUAUUAUACAAGAAAGAGGAAAAAGGGAAACUUUCGGAUCUAUUGGAAUAAUUUAUGCAAUAAUUGCAAUUGGAAUUUUAGGUUUUAUUGUUUGAGCUCACCAUAUAUUUACUGUAGGUAUAGAUAUUGAUACCCGAGCCUAUUUUACGUCAGCUACUAUAAUUAUUGCGGUCCCCACCGGAAUCAAAAUUUUUAGAUGAAUCGCAACAAUUUACGGUUCCAAAAUGAACUUUUCCCCCCAAAUAAUUUGAUCAUUAGGAUUCAUUUUACUUUUUACUAUUGGAGGAUUAACAGGUGUAAUAUUAUCAAAUUCCUCAAUUGAUAUUAUUCUACAUGAUACCUAUUAUGUAGUGGCUCAUUUUCACUAUGUCCUUUCCAUGGGAGCAGUAUUCACCAUUAUCGCUAGAUUUAUCCAUUGAUACCCCUUAUUUACAGGUAGAAACAUAAAUAAUAAAUGACUAAAAAUUCAAUUUUAUUCCAUAUUUCUAGGAGUAAAUUUAACAUUUUUUCCCCAACAUUUUUUAGGAUUAACUGGUAUACCACGACGAUACUCUGACUAUCCAGAUAUAUACACCCUGUGAAACCUUUUUUCUUCUAUGGGUUCAUUCAUUUCCUUAAUUAGAAUUUUAAUAUUAAUGUUUAUUAUAUGAGAAAGAUUAAGAUUUAAACGAAAAAUGGUGUUUAAAACAAUCAACCUCAAUCAAUUGAAUGAAAAAUAAAUUUACCCCCUAGAGAACACUCCUUUAAUGAAAUUCCUAUAUUAAUUAAGUUCUAAUAUGGCAGAAUAGUGUAAUGAAUUUAAAAUUCAUUUAUGAAACCAUAAAUUUCUUUUAGAAAUUUCAUGAACUAAAUUAUAUUUACCUGACGCCUAUAGCCCCACUAUAGAGCAAUUAACUUUUUUUCAUGACCACACCAUGUCUAUUAUUAUUUCAAUUACAACCAUAAUUGUAUUUUUAUUAAAUUCACUAAUUUAUAAUAAACUUAUUGACUUAAAUAUUAAUGAAAAUCAAGUUAUUGAAACUUGAUGAACUAUUCUACCAACAAUUAUUCUUUUCUUCGUUGCAAUUCCUUCACUUAAAAUUCUAUAUUCUAUAGAAGAACUAAUUAAUCCAACAAUUUCAAUUAAAUCUAUAGGUCAUCAAUGAUACUGAUCUUAUGAAUAUUCUGAUAAACUAAAAAAAGAAUUUGAUUCUUACAUAAAAUAUUCUAAAAUUAGUGACUUUCGACUAAUUGAAGUUGAUAACCGAAUAAAGGCCCCCUUCCUUACCCAACUACGAAUGAUUUUUUCAUCCUCAGAUGUAUUACAUUCCUGAACAAUUCCUAGUUUAGGAGUAAAAAUAGAUGCAAUUCCAGGACGACUAAACCAAUCAAGCAUAUUAAUUAAAAAACCCGGAUUAUUUACUGGUCAAUGCUCCGAAAUCUGUGGAACAAAUCAUAGAUUUAUACCUAUUAUACUUGAAUCUGUCAAACUAGAAAAAUUUGUAAAAUGAAUAAAAUAAAGUAAAUUAGU
rnacentral:lncRNA from 1 species